rnacentral:rRNA from 1 species
GAAUAUUGCGCAAUGGGCGAAAGCCUGACGCAGCCAUGCCGCGUGAGUGAUGAAGGCCUUCGGGUUGUAAAGCUCUGUCGGAGGGGAAGAAGUUCUGACGGUACCCUCAAAGAAAGCACCGGCUAACUCCGUGCCAGCAGCCGCGGUAAUACGGAGGGUGCGAGCGUUGCUCGGAAUUAUUGGGCGUAAAGCGUACGCAGGCGGCUGUCCAAGUCGGGUGUGAAAGCCCGGGGCUCAACCCCGGAACUGCGCCCGAGACUGGAUGGCUUGAGUGCGGGAGAGGGAAGCGGAAUUCCUGGUGUAGAGGUGAAAUUCGUAGAUAUCAGGAGGAACACCGGUGGCGAAAGCGGCUUCCUGGCCCGAUACUGACGCUCAUGUACGAAAGCGUGGGGAGCAAA